rnacentral:misc_RNA from 1 species
GAUGAAGAACGCAGCGAAAUGCGAUACUUGGUGUGAAUUGCAGAAUCCCGUGAACCAUCGAGUCUUUGAACGCAAGUUGCGCCCGAAGCCAUUAGGCCGAGGGCACGCCUGCCUGGGCGUCACACGUCGUUGCCCCCCCCAUCUACUCCUUCGGGAUUGCGGGGGGCGGAUGAUGGCCUCCCGUGCGCCUCGCCGCGCGGUUGGCAUAAAUGCCAAGUCCUCGGCGACGCACGCCACGACAAUCGGUGGUUGCGAAACCUCGGUUGCCCGUCGUGUGCGGUCGUCGCGCAUCGAGGGCUCGAAAAAAUUGCCGGGCUCCGGCUCGGCUUUCAACGCGACCCCAGGUCAGGCGGGGUUACCCGCUGAAUUUAAGCAUAUCAAUAAGCGGAGGA